UAAAUUCGUCAUUCGAACGCCUAGGAUCC
rnacentral:piRNA from 1 species